UCCCAUCAGAGGAGAUAGUUCAACCCAUUCAAGGAAGUGCAGAAAAUAGAUGGCCCCCAUGGAAUGGGGAACCACUACCACUUUCUUAUAACCAUUUGUUACAUACAUAAGUUCUAUUUUACUCUUCAAUCUAGUAAGAGCCUGGUCCCGAAUCUCUGUAUUCUGAAAAGAGAGCCUCCAAUCAUAGGCUGCCAUGAAGAGAUUCUUCCCUUCAUAACCAAUUUUUGCCAAAUUCUCAACGAGAACAGCCCAAACAAAGUACCCUGAAGCAAAAUAGUCAGCUGCAGCCAGUCCAGGGACAGCACGGAC
rnacentral:misc_RNA from 1 species